rnacentral:SRP_RNA from 1 species
AGCCAGGUCCCACGCAAUAGGAGGCUGCUGAACCCCGCCAGGUCCGGAAGGAAGCAACGGUAAGCGGACCAAAUAUGUGCCGUGGGGUAGCCUGGCUUUU